GUGCAGCUUGUCGCGACCAGUCAGCGUUAACGUUGUCUCAAACCAGUUUUAAUUGAGUGACAAACAAGCAAAUCGUUUGGCCGUAAUACCAGUUGCAACAAAUAUGACGACUUUACAAGAGAUAAUCGUCAUUCUGAGCGAUUUGAAGCAAAGCUUAAUUGCAUUUCAUGGAGUCAAUCCUGUUUAUCCACCACCCAACAAGAGUGAAACAAUGGCACGAGUUGAAGAAUACAUCAAACUAGUUGUGGCUGCCAUAAGUAGAGGGGACUGGCCUUUGCAGCUACCAAUUCAUGGCAGUGACAAGAUGAUGACGUGGAAAGCCGCCAAUCAACGACGUAAAUGUUUGUUACUCUUCCAUCUGCUCGCCAAAUCACAUGCACUUUUACGCACCAACACCACGUCUACUAAACGUGACAUCUACUAUGAAGACGUUUCGUUAUGGGGUAACCAACCGGUACUGGACAGCACAGUAACCCAGAUGACAAGACUGCUGAAUAUUCCGCGACGCUGUCUCAAUAUCGGUGCCACUUCGAAAGGUUUGGUGGCAGGUUCUCUGAACUUUCUCGAUGGAGAUGGCAAGCUCGUUGAUUGCCAAUCACCAACUGGGAUUCUGAUACCGAAUGACGUUGAAAGACUUUCUCAUUUCCGAAGCAAGGCUUUCCACAUCUUGCUAGUGGAAAAAGACAGCACGUUCCAGAAAUUGAUUGACGAUAAGAUCGAAUCCUUCAUCGGGGAAUGCAUUCUCAUCACGGGAAAAGGUUAUCCGGAUGUCAACACUCGUCGUUUCCUGCGUCGCUUGUGGGACGAGCUGCAACUACCCGCGUUGGCUUUGGUAGAUGCAGAUCCGCACGGAAUUUCCAUCCUCGCUGUCUAUCGAUUUGGAAGUCAAAAUUUGGAAGAUAUUGAACAUUUGUCCACGCCCCAACUGCGAUUUAUCGGUCUCCAGCCAAGCGAUAUUGAGCCUUUACACAUCCCUGACGAAGCUAAAUUGCCACUAACUCAACGCGAUCGAUCGCUCAUCGACUCACUGGCCCAACGCCCUUCGGUAACCGAAAAUCAGCUUCUCCACGAACAGGUUUCUAUUCGGAGUUUGCUUCAAUUGAACUGGCAGUCAACUUUAAUCAGACGGUCUCUUUAGUCGAUCCAGAGUCACAAAAACGUCGAGUUAAAUCGUCUUAUUCCUACAUCGGACCUGUCCUCAUCGGCAUCGGUGUAUUCGUGCUGAUUGGGGUGAUUGUGGCGACGAUGGAGAUGCGCGACAUGACGGCCAAAGUCUUCCCGUUGACCAAACGGACUUACAGGAAAACUAAAUUGACCGCUGAAGCCCUGGGCACGAUGUUCCAGACACCGACGCAGCAGAUCAUGAGAGAGAUGGCGGUCAACUAUAAAAAACCAGAUCGCCAAGCGAGCUUCCGCACGGUUGGAACACAAACAUUUCGACCUCGUUUAUGGCCUUGGUCCAGGCCCAGGCCGCCUCGUCGUUUCAUGUUUCACGGCAAAAUGAUUUGCCGAUCGUGCCAACAGCUUUGCACGCCCAAAAGCCAACAGAAUGCCAGGCUUCCACCGACAUUCGUCCACAAGCGUGGGCGACGAUCGCGUUGUCGCCGGAAAUUGUUACUCAUCCACUCACUGGCAGCCAACUCGUUGGCUGUUUCAUGUCCCCAGCUUGACACUGUUAGCUAAUCAACUCUAUACAUCUACUAAUUGUUGUUGCUCGGCUUGUGCUGCUUUGUUGAUAAUGGCGCAGUAACCAAGCCUGUCCUAAUAUUCUGGGACUGUCAAAUGUCUUUCUUCCCUCGCAGACAAGAAUGCUUUAGGCCAGUUUAAUGUGAGUGCGAUCACCUUUAGAUGCGGAAUGUCAAGGAGACCUGUCUUACAACGAGGCGACAGGGCUAAUAAUACAAUACUGGACGUUACGAGUACAAGAGAACUGGAAUGCUACGUACACACAGAGGCCAAAAGAGUACGGACAACGUACCUCGCGUGCCAGCUCGGCGCCUUCCUUUUUUCUCCGAUAUGCUUUUGUUUUCUUGCGAGAUAAAAAAAAAAAAAAAAAAGAGAGAGAAAAGAAUGUUUCUUCUUUUAGCUCUAGACGGGAAUUUUAUUUUGUACACAGCCAAAUCUGGCUUAAUGUCGGUAUUGUGGUCGAUCAAUAAACUCGGAUUGACGGAUGG